ACACACAGCUAGCUCUUCAGGCCAGGCCCCCAGGGUUUCGUCCACCUCUCACCUUUGACGACGCGAAUGAAGAAUGAGGAGGUGCUGCGAUCGAACGACUGCGAGGAAACACACCCGCUCUCAUGGCAUUCCCAGUAAACUGAGAAGACGUGAUUAAACCUCAGGAUCUCCUACUAAUAGAGAAAUGUAUAACGAUUUAGCUACCAGAUCUGAAUACUGAAGGGUUGGUAGGGGACCAGAGAAUAGAGGAAGCAUUGUAGGUUCUAGAGUGGAGAAGGGACCAUCCAAAAUGGAGUUUGAAAGAGAAUUCUGGCCUUUGUGUUUAGAGUCUGGAAUUGUCAAGAGUCUGAAAGCACAGAAUAAGACUGCAGCUAGAGCAAUUUAGGCGCCAUAGUUUGUCAAAACAGGACUCUAGCCCUGAUCUGCUCUCUUCUGGGAGCAUCUGAUAGAACAAACAGAAACCCCUCUCCCACUGUUCUCCUGUGUCCAGAGUGGGAGGCAUAACUGCUUUGCCUCCAGUCAUCAUCUGGGGGCAUAUCUACUCUUCGAGGACCAGGGGUUCGGGACCCUGGAACAGGAUCUGAAUUCCAAGCUGACCUCAGGGGUACAUGAAGACUGCUAGAUGAGACGGGAUCUCACUGUGUUGCCCAGGCUGGUCUCGAACUGCUGGACUCAAGUCAUCCUCCCAUCUUGGCCUCCCAAAGUGCUGGAAUUACAGGUGUGAGACGCUGUGCCU
rnacentral:lncRNA from 10 species